rnacentral:tRNA from 1 species
GGUGGUGUAGCCGGGUCUAAUCUGAAAUACGUGAGAUUUCAGAGGCUAGACAUACGGGCCUGUCGAGCCCGUGCCCCGGGUUCAAAUCCCGGCC